UUUUUUUCCCUUUUCUUCUUCCUCCCGUGCGCCACGACCCUCCUUCCCCUUCUCUCCGUUCGUGCAGCAACCGCCCCAACCGUCCUCUUCUCCUUCCGUUCGUGGCCAGCCGCAGCCCAGCCGCAACCACCACCUCUAUCUUCUUCUUCCCGUCCCGCCGCGAAGCAAGACCGCGCCGCUGCCAGUCCAGAUCUGCGGCGCCGUUGCUCUUCCGCCGCUGCCCAACCGUCUCAGCCGGUUCUGUCUCUGUCGAAGCCACGGUUCUGCAACCGUCUCCGCCGGUUCUGUCUUCGUAAAGCCCUGCCGCGCAACCUCUGUUUCGAGCCGCCGCCCAUUCCGUUCUCCUCUGUUUUCUGCACUGCCGCGCGACUCUCCGACCGCGUCAGAUCGUUGAUCGAUUUUGAGGCAGCCGCCACGUCUCCUUUGGCCGACCGCUGACCGACCCACACUUAGGAUUUUUGCUGCGAGUCCGACAGUCGUGCGUUGAGGUGUUGGGAGUAACGUUGGGCUCCCUUAAAUUCACAACCAAUUUGUGAAUUGUUGAGGGUUCAGUUCGCCAAUAUAUCGGAUUGUUUCAAGGAUGUUAGUUGAUUAAGGAGCUUCCCCAACUUUGAGGCAAAGGAAAUAAAGGUGGCAAACCGGCGAGGGGCAGGAAGGAAGCGUGAUUGCCA